rnacentral:rRNA from 1 species
CACGUAGUUAGCCGGUGCUUAUUCUUCAGGUACCGUCAUUAAGAAUGGAUAUUAGCCACUCCCGUUUCUUCCCUGACAAAAGAGCUUUACAACCCGAAGGCCUUCUUCACUCACGCGGCAUUGCUGGAUCAGGCUUGCGCCCAUUGUCCAAAAUUCCCCACUGCUGCCUCCCGUAGGAGUCUGGACCGUGUCUCAGUUCCAGUGUGGCUGGUCGUCCUCUCAGACCAGCUACUGAUCGUCGCCUUGGUGAGCCUUUACCUCACCAACUAGCUAAUCAGAUAUCGGCCGCUCCAGGAGCACAAGGUCCGAAGAUCCCCUGCUUUCAUCCUUAGAUCGUAUGCGGUAUUAGCGUAACUUUCGCUACGUUAUCCCCCACUCUUGGGUACGUUCCGAUAUAUUACUCACCCGUUCGCCACUCGUCAGCGGAGCAAGCUCCCUGUUACCGUUCGACUUGCAUGUGUAAAGCAUGCCGCCAGCGUUCAAUCUGAGCCAGGA